AUUGAACGCUGGCGGCAUGCUUUACACAUGCAAGUCGAACGGUAACAGGUUAAGCUGACGAGUGGCGAACGGGUGAGUAAUGCAUCGGAACGUGCCCGGUCGUGGGGGAUAACGCAGCGAAAGCUGCGCUAAUACCGCAUACGAUCCGAGGAUGAAAGCGGGGGACCGGAAGGCCUCGCGCGAUCGGAGCGGCCGAGUUCAGAUUAGGUAGUUGGUGGGGUAAAGGCUCACCAAGCCAACGAAAUGUAGCGGGUCUGAGAGGACGACCAGCCACACUAGGACUGAUACACGGCCCAGACUCCUACGGGAGGCAGCAGUGGGGAAUUUUGGACAAUGGGCGAAAGCCUGAUCCAGCAAUGCCGCGUGCAGGAAGAAGGCCUUCGGGUUGUAAACUGCUUUUGUACGGAGCGAAAAGGUCUCCUCUAAUACAGGGGGCUCAUGACGGUACCGUAAGAAUAAGCACCGGCUAACUACGUGCCAGCCGCCGCGGUAA
rnacentral:rRNA from 1 species